UCCACGCUUAAUGCAGAGAAAGGCACCUGAAAUAUUGAAGGUGGGCUUGAUGAUUGUAGGAACAACAUCACGGAGAAUAACAAGGAGAAGAGGAGCCAAGCAUGGGCCUCGACGGCCACACGCAAAUGCUCAUACGGAGCGUCGUAAUGACCCAUUUCUCAGGAGAGGUCCAAGACCCCUCGGUACAUCCUGGCACACGUCCUGACACCCGCCGAUCGUGGGCCAGCCACACAGCCAUUCCAUCCGGUCUGACUCGACGGCACGUGGUCAAACACGGAAGAAGCAGCAGGACUGAGAGGCUUUGCACAAGAUAAGAGGAGGAACACAAAUGAUUGGCAGAGCCCGGAGCAGAAAUGCUGGGUCAGAAUUGCAAAGUGCAUCUAUUGCACGAUAUCCAUGCGAACAGCUUCACCUCUUCACACAGUGUGCUGAAAUCCAGCCUGACCUGUCAACCUGCUGGCCGUUCAUUCUCUCCAAGUGCUACAUGCGGCUUUUCAAGUGUGUGGUGCGUCUGUCCCGGAUUAUUUGCCGGAACCCCUACUGCAUGCAGACAGAAACACAGGUGGAAAAUCACUCGGCUUGUUCUCUGGUAAAAUCCUGGCAGGCAGGUAUUAGUCAUACCGGGAUUUUCAGCCAUUCCUUUCACCAGGUCUUUCAAGGCAACAUUGAAAGUAAAGGACAUGGUUUAAAAAUAACGUACAGAACUGAGGGUAGGAUGUGAACAGAGGUGAUUAUUACUAAUGAAAUGGUUAAUGGAAAGACAGAUUGGUAAUGGCUGGUCGUUCUGUGGUUGGUAGCUCAUCUAUUUCUUUGAUUAACACCUGUGAACGGUACCAUGUGUUCUGUGUUCAUUAAUACCAGAAUCCUGGGCUGUCUAUCCUCUGUUCAAUGAACUGUGUGAUCUGAUUAAUAACACAUGUAAUGUGUUCACUAACACCCCUAUCUUGUGUCACCUGACCUCCAUUCAGUAACGCGUGUCCUGUAUUUGUUACCUUUGCUACCUUGCAGCUGUUUUGCACAGAUGUCUCGUUAAGUGAUGGAACGGGCAUGGAGAUCAUACACGUUCAUCUCAAAAGGACAGUUUCCAUGUUAGGCGGACAUAUGUUGGACUUUUCCAGAAGAAAAUGGAAGGAACCCCUGUUCUUAAGAAGGCUAAAUACAGAGAGCAACUUAAUUACAGAGAGAAAAUGCCUCUGUGUUCCAGCUGCACAGGAAACACCAAUAAUUCAUACAUGACCCGAUUAGCUAGCUAGCUGGUUAGCCGCUGAGAGGAGGCCUCUGUCUCGUGCGUGGAACAGAGAAACCAACUUUUAAUUUUCCCACUUUUAAUUUUCAGUUUCACAAUGCAUGAUGCUAUGAUCUCUACAACUGCAGUAUUUUCAUAAUUACGUCUGCUUCUCUUAAGGUAUUUGCACGUGAAAACCUUGCAAUGCUGAAAUCAAAUAAGUAUCUUAAAUAAGUGUCUUAUAUAAGUAUGUUAUAAGUAUGUUAGCUGCAAAGGUCAAUGAAAAGUUAAAAUAUAGAUUUACAUAAUAAUACAGUAUGGAAACUCUACUCAGCAGGCCUGCCUUUCAAUCUGUUUACAUCCUUUUAUUCCAGCUGCUAAUGAUCCCAAAUUAGCUCAUAUUUUGUAAUAUAUUUAAUAUAUAUUAUUCAUCUAGCCAUAUAUUUAUAUUUAACGAAUGGAAGAGAGAAAUACAAAUGUAUCUCUUUUCUCUAAAAGCAGAUUAUACAAAGUGAGACACUGCCCCAAAGGUCCUGCCAUGCGACUGGGGUCUGAGCGAACCUUGAUCAUUGGAGGUGGGCUUUAUGAACGCAUUCCCCUCUGCCUUGUUCUACACUCUCCCUCUUGUCUGCCGUCGAUUCGACGGUUGGGCACGAUUUGCUUCCACACGAGACCUUAAGUGAACGGGGGGCGGGGACCGCCUGAACCAGCGGUGAGCUUCGCUAACAUGAGGAAUUCAUUCCUCCAGUUGUGGGCAGGAAGUGACGGGACCCAAAGGAGUCCUGCUGCCGCGGUUAUUUUGGGUCUGGUAUGCAGUGGCUGCCUGUGGAAGGCCCUUUUUUUCACGACACAAUGCGCGUGCAUAGGCGUAAACAGGGCACAAGCACAAUGUCGUGCCAGUUUCAUGCGUCACCGGACCAUCCACUCCCCCAUUCACUUUUUAUUUUAACCACAACAAUAAAUGUAAUUGCUACAUUAAACCCCUAAAGUUAAACCCUUAAAGUGUACGAUUUUGUUUUCUGUAAAGACGAGAUCAUUUUCCUGAUGGAUAUAGGAAGGUUUCUGACACAAUUACGCGACGCUGAAGCUAACUAUACGGGCGUAUUAUUUAAGGGUGAGGUUAUAUGAAAAACCUCAGCUGUUGCAUAAAGGGUUGAACUCAGGGAAAGGAUCUUCACUGAGAUGAAUUUUGAUGGAUAAACAAUGCUGGACAUUCGUUUUGCUUCAGUCACGCUUUAGGUCCGUUGCAUUGCAACCAUUGCCCACAGCACUGCAAAUGGGCUUUUGGCACCACCUGUUAAGGCUUCCCCACUGUAAAAACUGGAUUUCAAAUGCCACAUUCCUCUCCCCUUUGCCAAUCAGCCCGUGGAGCAUAUUUACUCUGAUUCAAAUAGGCCGUGCUUCUGAGCUUUCUGUAGUCUACGAGACUAAAGACCCUGAGUGUGUAUUCAAUUGGGGAGCCAUUUUGAGGGCAGGCAGAUGGUUCCAACAUCCAUCCAUCCAUCAUUCAUCCAUUUUCUAAAUUUGUCCAAUGCAGGGUCGUGGUGGUCCAGAGCCUACAUCUCUAUUUUAUUCAUUUAAGAAACACUUUUGUACAAAAUCAAUUACAAGUGAGGAUUAGGCAGUGUUCCAGAAGCAAUUGGGAUUAAGGACUUUGCUCAAGGGCCCACCAGUGAUGUCACUCUACAGACUACGGGAUCUGAACUAACAACCUUGGUUGUUGCCGGAUCUCGGGCACAGAAUCUAAACUCACAGAGCUGCACACCACCCCAGAACCAUAAAGAUGGCUGUACGGUGACACAUCAUCAGCAUGUAACCAUCACCUGAGAUAGUGGAGUUCUUUGAAAAUGAUCCUGUGGUAGGUUAUUUUCUACCACCGCUGGCAUUCGGACAUUUAUAUGGCUGUACUGAGAUAUUCUAUAACCCUAUAUAUACAUUCUAUCCUCUUGUACAGACUCUGCUCCUAGGAUGAUGACAGUAACAUCAUUGUAUGUUUUAAAAACCAUCAGUCCUUUCGUGAUUAUAAACCGUUACACUGCGGUCAUGAGGUCUUGUUUAAAAACACUCGUGCCAUAAUAAGAGUAAAUGUCUGGCCAUUUCCAUCUGGGUGUUUGUGUUUAUGACACUGCCAUAGUAACGCAGUGCAAACUACGAUAAACGACUUGUGACUGUUGCUUGCGGAUCCUGAAUCGAGUUACUUGUGCAAUUCUGUGCGCGAUAUCUUCAGAAUAGACUCCUGAACAUUUUGGCGGCCUCAAGGCCUCCUGUAGUAACUCACAUGAAAAGUUCUCCAAUUAACCUCAAAUGUGAGAAAACUAUGCAGUGUUCACCCCGGCAAGCACCUGAGUGGGAUACCGGUCAGCUUAACCCGGAUUCUGAAAUAAGGGAAGGCAGCAUCAGUGUUUUCUGGAUGAAAAAUCUUCUUUUUAAUCGAGCAGUAUAGAAAUUACGGCAGAAUAUCAUCUUUAUACGGGUAAUAAGUGGCCUCCUGUCAUUAAAGUAUGUGACUGAAAAAGGCUGUCAUUGUAAAUGACCUGAAAUGUGGUAUAUAGCAGGACAAUGGCUAUCAAUGGGGACAGGGAAAAAAUAAAAUGUGUUCCUUUGUGGCACAAGCUCCUCCCCACCCCAUGGUCUAAAGCUGUGAAGCUGUCAGUCAGAUGCAAGGAUAAUGCAGGGACGCUGGACUCAUAAUAAAACUAUCCGAUGGUGGAAGGACAAUACAUGAAUUGCCUAUCCAUGCUAAUCCCCCCCGGCCCCCCCUCCACGGUAGUGCCCAGUGGGUGGUCCCAUUUGUUUUGAGGGACCCUUUUUCCAUGUAACUAGGUCCUCUGAAGGCAACUGGGGGGGGGGUGGUGGUGCUAAAAGAAUACGCUACACUGCAAGGCCGCUUAAAAGCCAAUGCCAGUCUCCCAUUCUGAGGUGGUACCCGGGCUGCUUGGUUACAUCGGGCAGCAAUUCAAUUAAAUGACAUACUUCAGUUUGGUCUCGUUCUCGGGUUUAUAGCAUGAAGAUAAUUCCCAAUGCAUCAAAAAAUGCUUCCAUCAAAGCUUAGACAAUCAACUGAUACAAGCAUUAACCUCUGAGCUAACCGUAUACAGCGCACCUUCAAAAUGACAUUCAUAAUGCAUUCGUAGAACAUUCAUAAGCAGCGUGUUAAUAUACCAUAACAUUCUAACAUAUCUUAAGAGUAUUAAUAUACAGACACUCCUCUACUUACGAAUGAGAUACGUUCCGAACGGCCGUUCAUAACUUGAAAUGUUCGUAAGUUGUUAUCCAGUAUCAUUUUACGGGUAUAUGCAAGUACGCUACACGCUACGCUGCUGCGCGGCGGGAGUAGCGGCCAGAAGUCGUACUAAGCAGAAUUGGUGCGCAAAAAAAAAAAAAUUGAUGUUGCGGACAGGAAACAGGAGCCCAAUGAACACAAUUUGGACUUACAGUCCUCUUUGUUUGUAUAUCUGAAAGUUCGUAAGUUGAAAGUUCGUAAGUAGAGAAGCAUCUGGAUAUUAAUUACAAACAUUAUAUGAUUAUAAUGUUUGUUAAUAUCAUAUAACAUUUGUUGUUAAUGUAUAUUAAAGCUGUUACGGGAUGUUAGGAUGUUACAGUAUACAUACAUGCUGCUUUUGAAUGUUCUAUGAAUGCAUUAUGAAGGUGCACUGAAUGUUCCAUUAAUGUAUAAUGAAUGCAUUAUGAAGUGGUAGGUAAUACAAAGCGUUACCCGAUCUAACUGCUUUUCUUGGUCAGGGUAGCAGGGGGUACUGGAGACCAUGUCAGGCAGCACAGGGCACAGGGCUGGGGCACACUCUGCAUGGCAUACGAGUUUAUUGCAGGGUAAAUAUACACAAUUGUACUCUAAAAGGAAUUAAGAGACGCCAAUUAGCCUAACUGCAGGAGGAAACCCGAGCACCCAGCGGAAACCCAUGAAAUACGGCGAAGCAUGCAAACUCCACAUAGCACAGAGUAUGAGAUUUAAAGCUCCAAACCUGGAGGUGUGAGGCAGCAGUGCUACCCACUGAGUCCCUGUGUUGCUAAAAGCAUCCAUGCUGUAUCUAAAUACAGCCAGCAUGGGAGGGCCAGUCAGGUGACCAGAACUUUGUGUGUUGAUUGGUUGAUGGGUUAGCAUUUGUUCCGCUUAAUAUGUAUGAACUGCUUUUGUUUUAUUUUGCUCCUGUGAAUCAGGCUGAACUUUAAUAUAAAACCCCAAGUCAGUCCUGCCUGCCUCGGUUCCACACAUUUGGCUUUUUUCUGUCCACAUUGUGUCACCAGUCUCGCCCCAGUGCCCCUGAACAGCACCCUGAUGUCUCCAACGAACAUCCAACUCCCUGCCCAGCCAGUCCUGGGUCAUGCGGGUCUGUAUGCCAGCUUAACCAGAGACAGUUCUACGGUGGCAGUUUAUGGGGGUGGAUGUCGCUGACGGUUUCCUCGUCGUGCGCGUUUGUGCAGGUUACCAAUUAACACCCACAGCAGAGAUCUUAAUCGAUCAGAAGUCUGCGGGUGGCUGAUGCCUUUGCUGAAGCCCGAAGUGGUACUGAGGUACCAAGUUGAUGGGCAGCCAUUUUCAAUAAUGCCAGAUGGUCAUUCACAUACGAGUGAUGCGCCAAAAUAAAAAGAAAAAAAUUCUUGAAAACACCAUAAAUAAACCUUCAUCUCUUUAAUCUUGAAACGAAACCUAUUACUCAAAAUAACCACUGCUUGUUACACCUCAUACGACAUACUGUUUCACAUUUUGGGAGUGAGUCACUGGGUUUCUUUUACGUGUCACUGUUACAAGACGGUUUUUUCCCCUCACUUAGUCUGGUAUUCGCCGUGGCCAGGAUCUCGCCCAAGCGGAAAAAGAAAAACUAUCAACUGCUUUUGCAUACAAAAAUAACGAUAUUCCUUCAUCUGCCAAGACUGAGAGGAAGCGUUUGUUUUCCCUCUGCGCUCCCCCCGCUGGAGGAAGGUGAUAAGGGGAAUUCAGGGGCCAACGACGCGUCUGUCUCUUCCCUUUUUUGAAAAGUCGCCCCUGCGCUAUUUCCAAAGUUAUUUUGUCCAGCGCCUGGUGAUUCCUCAUAAACACAAAGGCCUAAAGAGACUGGAGAGACCUCCAGUGAGGUCCAACACAAGGAAUCCCGAAGAAAAGAUCUCCUAAACAGGUUGGCCUGUGUACCCAGGAGGAGGCACCUGUAAUUGACCGUUUCAGUGUAGAUAAACACAGAAAUGCCUGCAAAUUCCCAACCCUACAUCGAACAAAUCCCGCAUAUUAUAUCCAAAAAUCUUGAAAAUCUACAAAAAGAUGACAGGGGCCGAUGAUGAAAACCAGCCGGAGACCCCCCCCCCUAGCCUCGUCUGCAUGGCGUGUUCUGGGACAGGAGCGGCCAGCUUUCCCCCUGCGCCCGCGGUGUCAUUUACAAGCAGCUCAGUCGCAUUCCAGUCUCUGUUUCGGCAACGUGCAACCCUCCUUCAUCGGCGUCGAGCCUACCUCUGUGGACACGCCCAGAUGGAGCUGACAGCUACUCACAAAAGCCUUAAGAAAAUGUUUUCGGUCGUCACUUUGAUAUGGUGGGAUUGCCUCAACCAAGAGCGCAUGGGAAACAAGAGAGGUAGAUAAGAAGAAAAGAAUGACGAACACAGAAAAGAAGGAGAGGGAGACAGGAGUAAAGAGACAGGGAUCAGGUUUAGGCCCUCAAGUAAACCUUUUCUGCCCACAUGUACUCCUCUUUGUCUCAGGAAAAGAGUAUUGAGGAAUACGCUUAAAAUCCCAAGAAAGCUGUAAAAUGCCAUAGCAUCAAUCGAAGUGAGCGGCCUGAUGUUUCCUCUCCGCGCACAAACAAUAACAGCAGGGAAUGGAGAACUUUCUCUCUUCUGAGUACCUGUUGCUGGCUACUAAUGACUGCAGUAGGGACGUCGUUGCUGAUAUAAUUAUGUGCGGUGUGUACACCAUUAAAGCGAAAGAAAAAGACAUGGGUGUGGCGAGUUAAAUAAUUUAUGUUACGUAAACAUACUCACCGCAUUAUUUGGCUGAGCUCAAAUCUACACAAGCUUAAGUUGUGGCUGUUAUUUAUAUGCCAAACUGGAAUUGCAGUAUGAUUUUCAGUAUGAUUUUAUAUACCAAACUGGAAUCUGAGUAUGAUUUUCAGAAUGAUUUUAAAUACUAAACUUGAAUCUGAGUAUGAUUUUCAGAAUGAUUUUAUAUACCAAACUGGAAUCUGAAUAUGGAUUUUCAGAAUGAUUUUAAAUACCAAAAUGGAAUCCGAGUAUGAUUUUCAGAAUGAUUUUAUAUACCAAACUGGAAUCUGAGUAUGGAUUUUCAGAAUGAUUUUAUAUACUAAACUGGAAUUUCAGUAUGAUUUUCAGUAUGAUUUUAUAUGCCAGACUGGAAUCUGAGUAUGAUUUUCAGAAUGAUUUUAUAUACCAAACUUGAAUCUGAGUAUGAUUUUCAGAAUGAUU